GUAGAAUUUGAAGAAUUUAGUGGUUAGUUAGGGUAUAAAUAGAGUUUAAAGAUAGUAUAGUUAGGAUUAUUCAUAUCUUUUAAAAAAAUAAAUUAUACACUAAUAUUUUUUAUAUGAGACAGUUUUGUAAAUUACAAAUUAUAUAAUAAAAUGUUGAAGAUUUUGUAGAAUUUGAAGAAUUUAGGGGUUACUUAGGGUAUAGAUGGGGUUUAAAGAUAGUAUAAGUAGGAUUAUUCAUAUCUUCUUAAAAUUUAGGGGUUAUUUUUU
rnacentral:lncRNA from 1 species